GGACCGAACCAACCCCCGUUGAAAAGGUGGUGGAUGAGGUGUGGAUAGCGGAGAAAUUCCAAUCGAACUCGGAUAUAGCUGGUUCUCCCCGAAAUAGCUUUCGGGCUAGCCUCGUAUCGAUAUUACCGGAGGUAAAGCACUGAAUGGGCUAGGGGUCGAGAGAUUACUGAACCCUAUCAAACUAAGAAUGCCGGAUAAUAGAUGAACGGGAGUCAGACAGUGUGAGAUAAGUUUCAUUGUCAAGAGGGAAACAGCCCAGAUCCACAGCUAAGGUCCCAAAGUAUAGUUAAGUGGAGAAGGAUGUGGGAUCGCAGAAACAACCAGGACGUUGGCUCAGAAGCAGCCAUACAUUUAAAGAGUGCGUAAUAGCUCACUGGUCGAGUGGUCCUGCGCCGAAAAUGUAACGGGUCUAAACUAUACACCGAAGCUUGGGCUUGCACAAAUGUGCAGGGGUAGGGGAGCGUUGUGUGCGGGGUGAAGCAUGAGCGGAAGCGCGUGUGGACUGCACAGAAGUGAGAAUGCCGGAAUGAGUAGCGCGAAUUAUGUGAGAAUCAUAAUGGCCGAAAGCCUAAGGUUUCUGGAGGAAGGUUCGUCCGCUCCAGGUUAGCCGGGAGCUAAGGUGAGGCCGAAAGGCGUAGCCGAUGCACAUACGGUGGAGAUUCCGUAGCCAUCGAAGGAUUUAAGCAGAGGGACACAGGGAAAGAGCUCUUCCCGGGCGUUGGUAGCCCCGGGCGAAAGGGACCGAAAUUAGAGUAGGGAAGAAGAGCAUGGCCCCUGGCGAGAAAAGCUCUGUGGAUAUCCAAGAUGCCCGUACCGCAAACCGACACAGGUAGGUAGGAAGAGGAUUCUAAGGCCAACGGGAGAAGGGUUGUUAAGGAACUCGGCAAGUUGACCCCGUAACUUCGGGAGAAGGGGUGCUCUGGAAACAGAGCCGCAGAGAAUAGGUCCAGGCAACUGUUUAGCAAAAACACAGCUCUCUGCUAAAUCGAAAGAUGACGUAUAGGGGGUGACGCCUGCCCGGUGCUGGAAGGUUAAGAGGAGGAGUGAGAGCCCCGAAUCGAAGCCCCAGUAAACGGCGGCCGUAACUAUAACGGUCCUAAGGUAGCGAAAUUCCUUGUCAGGUAAGUUCUGACCCGCACGAAAGGCGUAAUGAUCUGGACACUGUCUCAACAGCCCACCCGGCGAAAUUGUAGUACCGGUGAAGAUGCCGGUUACCCGCGACAAGACGGAAAGACCCCAUGGAGCUUUACUGCAGCCUAAUAUUGGAUUUCGGUAUUUCAUGUACAGGAUAGGUGGGAGACUGAGAAGUCAGGGCGUCAGCUUUGAUGGAGUCACCCUUGGGAUACCACCCUUGGAGUGCUGGAAUUCUAACCUGUGGCCAUGAAUCUGGUCAGGGGACAUUGUUAGGCGGGCAGUUUGACUGGGGCGGUCGCCUCCAAAAGAGUAACGGAGGCGCUCAAAGGUUUGCUCAGCAUGGCCGGAAACCAUGCCUUAGAGUGUAAACGCAAAAGCAAGCCUAACUGCGAGACCGACGGGUCGAGCAGUAACGAAAGUUGGAGUUAGUGAUCCGGUGGUAUG
rnacentral:rRNA from 1 species